UGGUAGAGAAGGAGAGCGCUAAAAAUAAUGCAUUGCGACUCUUCAGAAACAUCGAUGAAAAGUCUGUGAAGACUCCUUUUACUUUAAGACUCUUAGGUGCCACUUAUAUCAGAUAAUCUCCUAGUUUUGAAUCAUUUAAAAAAAGAGUUUUCAUGUGUAAAAAUUUGGAAUUAAUCUGAUUAAUGGAUAGAUGCUUAUUGCACCUUUUAUUGGGCACGC
rnacentral:lncRNA from 1 species